GGCUGGAUGGCCGAGUGGUCUAAGGCGGUAGACUCAAGAACCUGGUUCUUGCCCUGGAAAUGCGGGGUGCAUUCUACUCUCGAAAGAGGCGCGCGUUCGAAUCGCGCUCCAGUCA